CCAGUCUUCCGCAGCGCGCUAAAGCUUAGUUCUUGUUGGUUUAAUUUCCUCUUUUUUUCCAGCCACUUCCGGGUCCUGGGUCGCUCCGGAAGACGGUGGGUUCCGGAAGCCGGGGUAGCCCAGGUUCUGCUAGGAAAAGCCAAGCUCUCAAGAGAAUGUUUCAGAAAAAGUUACGUGGAGCGUGAGCGUUUCACAGAUUUUUAAGGUUGGUGUCUGCCGGAGAGAGCCGGAGUACAAACCUGAGGUCUUGCUUAGCAGCUAGGAGAUCGUGGAGUUUCAUGCUCCUGGCAAAUAUGAGGUGAGGAAUUCACUGAGGAACUUGCAGUGAAAAAUCCCCAUUGCCAUAGCUACAGGCUUUCAAGUCUUGAGGGAGCUGCAGAAAGGGGGAAAGAGACCCUCAAAGAAGACAUGGCUUCUCAAGAAGAGAAUAUGAAGAAUACAAACAGGGUGCUAAGGAUAAGUCAGCUGGAUGCACUUGAACUAAACAAGGCCCUGGAGCAGCUAGUUUGGACCCAGUUUACUCAGUGCUUUCAUGGAUUUAAGCCAGGGCUGUUAGCCCGCUUUGAGCCAGAGGUGAAAGCAUUCUUGUGGCUUUUCUUGUGGAGAUUCACCAUAUACUCCAAAAAUGCCACUGUGGGACAGUCAGUUUUGAAUAUUCAGUACAAAAAUGAUUUGUCCCCAAACCUGAGAUACCAGCCGCCAAGUAAAAAUCAAAAGCUAUGGUAUGCCAUUUGUACAGUUGGUGGGAAGUGGUUAGAAGAAAGGUGCUAUGAUUUGUUUCGAAACCGUCAUUUAGCAUCAUUCUGGAAAGUCAAGCAGUGCAUGAAUUUUGUAGUUGGACUUUUGAAAUUAGGUGGGUUGAUUAAUUUCUUGAUUUUUCUUCAAAGGGGAAAGUUUGCAACUUUGACAGAACGUCUCCUAGGCAUUCAUUCUGUAUUUUGCAAGCCCCAAAAUAUACGUGAAGUUGGCUUUGAGUAUAUGAAUAGGGAACUUCUCUGGCAUGGUUUUGCUGAGUUUUUGAUUUUUCUCUUACCACUUAUCAAUAUCCAAAAGUUGAAAGCUAAGUUAUCGUCAUGGUGUAUCCCUCUUACUGGUGCUCCCAGUAGUGACAACACAGUAGCCACAAGUGGCAAAGAAUGUUCUCUAUGUGGAGAGUGGCCCACCAUGCCUCACACCAUAGGAUGUGAGCAUAUCUUCUGUUAUUACUGUGUUAAGACUAGUUUCUUAUUUGAUAUGUACUUUACUUGUCCUAAGUGUGGCACAGAGGUACAUAGUCUGCAGCCACUGAAAUCAGGAAUUGAGAUGUCAGAAGUAAAUGCUCUUUAGAAACUAAAAUUCUUUCUUCUGAGGAAAAAUGUAUUAUGUUUAAAUCCUUAAUAUUAAUCCUCUUAAGUAUACCAUUUAGAUGUCUUUUAUGAGGAUAUAUAUAUAUAUGUCUUAGCCAUUGUCUUCUGUUCAUUUCCAGGCCUGACUAAAUGCUAAUCUCUGGAAACCACAUGAUUUUAGGUAAUAUUAUGUUUGCUGUUGUGUAUCGAAGUGGCUUCAGUGAUCAUAUCUAAAAUACUAGCAUUAUCAAUCAAAACUAACACAAGGCAUGUCUUACUCCCUUGCUCUCAACUCUCCUCGCCUUCAGUACUUUGUGACUGUGGUUCUGGACAAGUUUAUUUAACUUUUCUAAGAUUCCGUUUGCUCACUAUAAAAUGAGCAUUCAAUAAUAUCUACCUCAUAGGAUUGUAAUGAGAAUUAAAUAAUUUUAAUCAUUCCUUCAAUAAAUAUUUAUUGAUCCCCUACAGGCAUUCUUCUGUACUUUGGGAAUGCAUUCAUGAAUAAAACAAAAUCCCUGUUCUUGUGGAGUGCUAGACAAUAUACACAUGUGUAAGGUAAUUGCAGGUGUUAGAAGUACUCUGAAGAAAAUAAAACAGGCUAAGGGAAUGGAGUAUCAAGGGAUGCUGUAUCCAACUGUAUGCUCAUGAAGUCCUCUUCAAAGGGGUUAACUUAGAAAAGAAGUCUGAAUGAAGUGAGGGAGCAAACCAAGUAGAAACAAGGUGCCAAAAUAAGGAAAGCUCUGAGAUGGAGGCUCCAUUGCCCGUAUGAGGAACAGCAAGAAAACAGAGUGAGCAAGAGAAAGAGAGGGAGGUAGAAAGGGAGG